rnacentral:rRNA from 1 species
GACGAACGCUGGCGGCGUGCCUAAUACAUGCAAGUAGAACGCUGAAGGAGGAGCUUGCUUCUCUGGAUGAGUUGCGAACGGGUGAGUAACGCGUAGGUAACCUGCCUGGUAGCGGGGGAUAACUAUUGGAAACGAUAGCUAAUACCGCAUAAUAGUAGAUGUCGCAUGACAUUUGCUUAAAAGGUGCAAUUGCAUCACUACCAGAUGGACCUGCGUUGUAUUAGCUAGUUGGUGAGGUAACGGCUCACCAAGGCAACGAUACAUAGCCGACCUGAGAGGGUGAUCGGCCACACUGGGACUGAGACACGGCCCAGACUCCUACGGGAGGCAGCAGUAGGGAAUCUUCGGUAAUGGACGGAAGUCUGACCGAGCAACGCCGCGUGAGUGAAGAAGGUUUUCGGAUCGUAAAGCUCUGUUGUAAGAGAAGAACGAGUGUGAGAGUGGAAAGUUCACACUGUGACGGUAUCUUACCAGAAAGGGACGGCUAACUACGUG